rnacentral:rRNA from 1 species
GACGAACGCUGGCGGCGUGCCUAAUACAUGCAAGUAGAACGCACAGUUUAUACCGUAGCUUGCUACACCAUAAACUGUGAGUUGCUAACGGGUGAGUCACGCGUAGGUAACCUGCCUGGUAGCGGUGGAUAACUAUCGGUAACGAUAGCUAAUACCGCAUCAUAUUAAUUAUUCCAUUCUAAUUAAUUGAAAGAUGCAAUUGCAUCACUCCCAGAUGGCCCUGCGUUGUAUUACCUAGUAGGUGAGGUAACGGCGCACCUAGGCGACGAGACGUAGCCGCUCUGCGAGGGGGCGAGGCGAAGCUGGGAUGGAGACACGGCCCAGAACACUGCGGGAGGCAGCAGUAGGGAAUUCUUGGGAAUGGACGAAAGUGUGACCGUGCAACGCUGGGUGAGUGAAGAAGGUUUUCGGAUCGUGAAGCUCUUGAAUAAGAGAGGAACGGGUGUGAGAGUGGAAAGUGCAGACUGUGACGGUAUCGGAACAGAAAGGGACGGCUAACUACGUG